rnacentral:lncRNA from 1 species
AUGUAUGAGAAGAUGGCGAACGUCAAGGCAGCAGGAGCUAACGUCAGCGCUCCACCAAGAAGACAAAAAAAAGUUGCAAAAGAGAGGAUCCUCACUCAGUUGAAGGAUACACUGAGGAAACCACCCCACUCCACUCCAUGCAGAACCAAUCCAUUACAUAGUGAGGAGGAAGUUGAAUCUGAAACGGUGGACACAAACGUGGAUUUGUUCAAUUACCCAGGGAAUUCUCAAUCAACCAAACAAAAAAAGGUUGCAAAUGAGAGGAUCCUCACUCAGCUGAAGGAUACACUGAGGAAACCACUCCACUCUGAUCCACGCAGAACCAUUCCGUUACAUAGUGAGGAGGAAGUUCAAGCCGAAACCGUGGACACAAAUGUGGAUUUGUUCGAUUACCCAGAGAAUUUUCAACCAACUGAUACCUUAGAUGCUGUUGAGGCAAGUGGAGAGAGCGUGGAACAGCCAUUAUUUGUCAGUGGUGAAGUGUUGAAAGCUUUGAAAGAAAUCUCAACUGUGGCGUUUGGCACCUUGUUCGUACCCCACUUACGAUGUGUUUUUACACGUAUUACCUGUGGUGUGCAUCAGGAGUGGAG